AAUUAAAUUAAUAUAUCAAAUAAGAUUUUGGCGGCAUAACGACACAUACAAGUCGAAUCCACGGAUCACAAGUUCGAUCAAACAACGCAAACAAAAGUAACCAAAUAGAAGAAAGCACAGAUAUUAUUUUUAAAUAUUUACAAAGCUAAUAUAACAUGUAGGAGGUUACAUUAGUAAACAAGAGUGCACAAAGUAAGUAAUAAAAAUGGUCUAUCUUCUCAUCAUUCUAAUGGCCCAAAUCUAAAAAUUUUAAACUCUAAUCUUAAAAAGAAAUUAAUAAAUAAGCAUCAAUAGCAAUAGAAAUUCAAAAACCCCAAAUCUAAAGUCUUAAUGAUAUUCAAAUACAUAUCAUAAUAAAACAAUAAAUUAGAUUGACUUUUCAACCCUCCAUUACACGUUCCUGGCAAAAGAAAUUCAACAAACCAAACAUAGGGCAGCAACAUUUUUAUUUAAAUUGUUAUCCAUAUUUACAGCAGUAUAAAUCCAAAUGGUCCCAAUAUUGACGGUGCAACCAACAAUCAAAUUAAAUUAUACCAUAAAACGAAAAUGACACACUACAAAAGCAUAAACACAGUGAAAUCAGAAUUUUCUCAAAGGCUAUUAGAAUCGUAUCAGUAGCUUACCAGUCCUGUUACAUUUC
rnacentral:lncRNA from 1 species